GCCUGGGUGGCUCAGUCAGUUAAGCGUCCGACUUCAGCUCAGGUCAUGAUCUCACGGUUCGUGGGUUCGAGUCCCACAUCAGGCU
rnacentral:tRNA from 1 species